UUAGAGUUUGAUCAUGGCUCAGAUUGAACGCUGGCGGCAGGCCUAACACAUGCAAGUCGAACGGUAGCACAGAGAGCUUGCUCUCGGGUGACGAGUGGCGGACGGGUGAGUAAUGUCUGGGAAACUGCCCGAUGGAGGGGGAUAACUACUGGAAACGGUAGCUAAUACCGCAUAACGUCGCAAGACCAAAGUGGGGGACUUUCGGGCCUCACACCAUCGGAUGUGCCCAGAUGGGAUUAGCUAGUAGGUGGGGUAACGGCUCACCUAGGCGACGAUCCCUAGCUGGUCUGAGAGGAUGACCAGCCACACUGGAACUGAGACACGGUCCAGACUCCUACGGGAGGCAGCAGUGGGGAAUAUUGUACAAUGGGCGCAAGCCUGAUGCAGCCAUGCCGCGUGUAUGAAGAAGGCCUUCGGGUUGUAAAGUACUUUCAGCGAGAAGGAAGGCGUUGUGGUUAAUAACCACAGCGAUUGACGUUACUCGCAGAAGAAGCACCGGCUAACUCCGUGCCAGCAGCCGCGGUAAUACA
rnacentral:rRNA from 1 species